rnacentral:sRNA from 1 species
GGGCUGGCUUUAGUCCAGCGCCCGGGCCAAUUGGUCCGGUGGUUCGAGACCCAUGGGCGCUCUCCAGUCCUUUA